rnacentral:rRNA from 1 species
GACGAACCGAGCGAACGUUGUUCGGAAUCAUUGGGCGUAAAGGGCGCGUAGGUGGUUCUGUAUGUCUACCGUGAAAGCGUACGGCUCAACCGUAUUUUGUCGGUGGAAACUGCAGGACUUGAGGCUGGGAGGGGCUGGUGGAAUUCCCUGUGUAGCGGUGAAAUGCGUAGAGAUGGGGAGAACACUCGUGGCGAAGGCGGCCAGCUAGACCAGUUCUGACACUGAGGCGCGACAGCGUGGGGAGCAAACAGG